UGCAACAAAUGCAUCCAUUGCUGAAAAUUUAAACAAUUUAUUUAAAAAUCCUGGUCCUUCGAUAUUGAAAAAUUCGGAGAAAUAUAAUCAGGCAAAAACAGUUAAUUCUCUUAUGAAUGCUGAUAAAUGUACUUUUAAAAAUAAAAACAUACAAAAUAUAAAUGACAAAUUAUCAGCUAGUUAUAAAGAUAAAUUAAGUAGUAUUUUACUGAUGAAAAGUGAACGUCCUUCUUUAUCUAUUAAAGUUUGUACAGAAGAAGACGAUAUAUAUUCUGCAUCAACUAAAGGUUAUUCUACUGAGGAAAAUUAUUCUUCUCCAUUAGGUUCAGAUACUAUAACAGAACAAGAAGAAAGUGAAGAAGAUGAGAAUGUAAUAAUAAAUAAAACAAAAAAAUGUUCUAUUACUGUUACAACAAAUACUAAUAGAUCUGGUAAUGAAAACACUAAUGUAAAUGAAGAAAAGAAAAAGAGUGAGAAUGAUAAAAGUAAGGGUGAUCAUGAUGAGGAUAAAACUAUAUUGCAUAAAACAUCUAAUAUGUCUAAUACGUCUAAUACGUCUAAUACGUCUAUAAUAAAAAUUAGAAGCAACGAAAAUAAAGUUACAAUAAACAAAAGACCAAAUGAAACACAUGAAACCUUUACACCUGUAGCUCACUUAAAUAAAAUUAUAACUACACCUUUAACAAAGAAAAAUGAAACAGCAGAAAAAAAAAAAAAAAGUUUAAAAGAGUUUUUUAGCUUUUUAAAAUCUCAGAGAAAGAAUAAGAAUGAAAAUAAUUCUUAUAACCAUAAAAAAAAUAAACAACAUGUUUUGAAACAUAAAGAAAGUGAUCGUUCAUGUCAGAAUCCACCUUUAAUAAAUUCAAAACAAAAAAAAAAUAAAAUAUCAAGGAUUCUUUUUGGUCUUAAAUAAACUUUUUUUUUUUUUUUUUUUUUGUUUUAUUUUUUUCUAGCUAGCUAAAUUUUUUAUUUUUUUUUGGCUAGCUAAAUUUUUUAUUUUUUUUUGUGUAUUAAAAUGAAUUUAUUUUUUAUAUUUUUGAAAUAAAUUUAAAUAGUAUAUAUGCUAUUUAUGCUUU
rnacentral:lncRNA from 1 species